rnacentral:rRNA from 1 species
UCGAGAAUCUUCGGCAAUGGGCGCAAGCCUGACCGAGCGACGCCGCGUGGAGGAUGAAGGCCUUCGGGUUGUAAACUCCUGUCGAGGGGGAAAAAGGGUCGCAAGACCUUGAUUGAUCCCUGGAGGAAGCACGGGCUAAGUUCGUGCCAGCAGCCGCGGUAAGACGAACCGUGCGAACGUUAUUCGGAAUCAUUGGGCUUAAAGCGCGUGUAGGCGGAUUCGUGCGUCUGUCGCUGAAAUCCCCCGGCUCAACCGGGGAACGGGCGCGGAUACGACGAGUCUGGAGGGGCAUAGGGGGACCUGGAACUUCCGGUGGAGCGGUGAAAUGCGUUGAGAUCGGAAGGAACGCCCGUGGCGAAAGCGAGGUCCUGGAUGCCUACUGACGCUGAGACGCGAAAGCCAGGGGAGCGAACG